CUUUAUUGGAGAGUUUGAUCCUGGCUCAGGAUGAACGCUGGCGGCGUGCCUAAUACAUGCAAGUCGAGCGAAUGGAUUGAGAGCUUGCUCUCAAGAAGUUAGCGGCGGACGGGUGAGUAACACGUGGGUAACCUGCCCAUAAGACUGGGAUAACUCCGGGAAACCGGGGCUAAUACCGGAUAACAUUUUGAACUGCAUGGUUCGAAAUUGAAAGGCGGCUUCGGCUGUCACUUAUGGAUGGACCCGCGUCGCAUUAGCUAGUUGGUGAGGUAACGGCUCACCAAGGCAACGAUGCGUAGC
rnacentral:rRNA from 1 species